GACGAACGCUGGCGGCGUGCUUAGCACAUGCAAGUCGAACGGAAAGGCCCUGCUUUUGUGGGGUGCUCGAGUGGCGAACGGGUGAGUAACACGUGAGUAACCUGCCCUUGACUUUGGGAUAACUUCAGGAAACUGGGGCUAAUACCGGAUAGGAGCUCCUGCUGCAUGGUGGGGGUUGGAAAGUUUCGGCGGUUGGGGAUGGACUCGCGGCUUAUCAGCUUGUUAGUGGGGUAGUGGCUUACCAAGGCUUUGACGGGUAGCCGGCCUGAGAGGGUGACCGGCCACAUUGGGACUGAGAUACGGCCCAGACUCCUACGGGAGGCAGCAGGGGGGAAUAUUGCACAAUGGGCGGAAGCCUGAUGCAGCAACGCCGCGUGCGGGAUGACGGCCUUCGGGUUGUAAACCGCUUUCGCCUGUGACGAAGCGUGAGUGACGGUAAUGGGUAAAGAAGCACCGGCUAACUACGUG
rnacentral:rRNA from 1 species